GAAGACGCUUGGAACUGUUCCCGGCACGAAGCCAGUGCCCUGUGAACAGUGGCUGCUGCUGUCGUGACUGAGUGCCGUCCAACUGGGGACAUUUGCUCUGCUCAGUUCACUGCCUUCAACAAGCUUGACGCAUUGAACGAGGGCUCAGUCGAUAAUGUACUCUGUAAAUACUCUCUCCCGGCUAGAGUGAGCAAAGCCCAGGGAGCGGGUGGUUCUUCAGUAUUACUCAGGUGUUUGUGGCAGGGCCAGCUGUGCGGCUGCCAGAGCGAAUGUGACCAGGAAGCCUCUGUCCCCCCGAGGUGGCCAGCGAUCCUGUUACAUGUGCCAUAGGCAGAAGAUCUAUACAACCUGGCGUUUGGCCGUGGCUUCCAGGACAGGCUGGAUGCAGAGUGAAGUCCUCUCCUCACUGUCAAUGUUUGCAGAUGUCUUCUUGUAUAAACUUCGUAUUUCUUGAGACUUUCAA